CUGGAAAUGAAACUCUGCCUUUUCCAGCGUGCGCCUGCCAUGAAGUCUUUUUUUUUUUUGGUGCUGAUUGAAAUCAUCUGUUUUCGGUUCUCUGACAAAUUAAUUGAACUUUCCUCUGACUCAGGGGCCUUCUGACUUUUGAAGCAGGUUUUGUCUACAUGCCGUCUCCCAGAUGAACACAAUUUAAUUUUCUAGGCUUUAAAUGAACUUUAUGUUUCCAGAAAGCCAAUGAAAGAAGCAUUUGUUCUGGUACCUGAACGUUGCUGCCUGUGAUCGUCCCCUGGGUAUAUCCAGGAUUUGAAAAGUGACUCGAUGCAGUAAAGACAAGGCUAUGCCAGGCUUGGAGACUGAUGAAGGAGCACUGAAGGUGCAUACUGUUUGCCAUGCUCAGCCAAGUCUGGAGAGAAAUCUGUGCGGGGCAGCUUUGGCGAAAGCACAAGAGCAGACAUCUGGGCGUGGAGCCACACCAUCUGAAGCGUGCAACAACAAAGUCCUUGAUGAUAACCAAGUUCCGGCCAGGAGCAGAAGCAGAAGUAAUAAAACACCACAAGAAAAGCUAUUCUUGUGAUAUUUCCGGUGCUACUGGAUGCAGCACCAACAGGAAAUCUCAUGAGAAAGACUGUUCCUUCACAGUUUCCAGGCCCACUUUGGAAACCCAAGUGACUUGGUUGAAAUAAACAGCAAAUAAGCUUCAGUCAGCUGUGGUGAAUAAAACUCCUUCUCCCAGCAUUUCUGGUCCAGUCCUCCUUACUCCCAAGGUGCACAAGCCUCCUGACAGAUGGUGAUCACAGAGAAGACAGUUCUUCAUGGUCGGCUCAAAAUAGUCUGAACGUGCAUUUCCACCCAGUUAUCUAACGUGAAAUGAAGACACCUGCAGAUAUAUAGCCCUCUCUCUUCUAAAAUGCACCAGUCUUACUUGAGAGCCCACCGUGCUUCAGGAUUGCAGCCUCACUACCUCCACAUGUAAGCGUCUGGCGGUGAUGAUUUGCAGCAAGGAGGCUGUCCCCCUCCCACUUCAGCCCGCAUGCGUGUGCUCCAGGAGGAUUCCCAGUCUCCCAAGGGGCUGAGGUGGUGGAGAGGGAAAAGAGCUCAGAAAAAAAGGGGAAAAACUGGCAGUCUCACAGCCAGCUGAUGCAGGAGCAGCCCACAGAAACCAUCGCAACAUACACAAUAAAAAACCACUAGCCUUAGGAGCAUUCAUAUGAUUCUCAUCUUUCCUUUCCUGCUAUUCCCCCCCACCCCUUGCUGCUUUUGUGUAUUAUGUACUGUAAGCAGGGUGGGGAAGGAGCUGUGCGUAUUCAUUCAGUUUGCCUAAAAUGUUAGGUUUCGGGUGAUAAUUCAGUCAGUUUGGCCACGUGCUUGGAACGUUUAAUACCGUUUUCUAAGUCCAAGAAUUACCAUCUAGGGAUCAGUCCUCAGCCCACAGAAAAGGGCUCUUUCCUUUGACUUCACAGGGCAGCGGAUCAGGCCCACCGUGAUCUGCAGAUCUUAAAACUUCCCUGAAAUGUUUUGCAGAAGCUCUGCCGUUCAGCUUGCUGAUGGACACACGUGCUGUCAAAGAUGAUGACUCAGAUGUAAACCCUUCCUGAAGUGUCGCUCUCAAGAAUAAAUGCCUUCCCUCUCGGUAACUGAUACAGUAUUUCUGGCUCUCCAGCUGUAAUACCAGAUUGCAUUUGCAGUGUCACUUUGGCAGUUAAAAAACCUUGUCAUAGUCAUCUGCUUCAACACCAAGCGUCUAGUCCAGCUGACUGUGGGCCUCUCUGUUUUCCUCACAUGCAGCCAGGAUGCAGGUUUCUAGUGAUGUUUGAUACUCGGGACAUUUGGAGAUGGAAUGUAACCACUUAAAACUGUUUGGUUUGUCACUUUUGGAUUUGCUACAUAAGGCUCUGUUAAUACAAACGGGCCUGUUUAUAAUAUUCAUCAGACAGUGGAAGAAAUUCCUCUGAUGUCUGUAUAAUGCAGUGAGCAGACUCCUUGAUUAUUAACAUACUGAUCGUGUACUCUUAUUUCAGAUGUUAGCUCAGCACUGGGGAAAGAGAGCUGGGGGAAUAAAAAAUGCAAGACGCAUGACAUGCUUGGGAUUUGGUCUG